UUUUUUUUCUAGCAGAUUCAGAAUCCAGAUAAUCACUGUUCAUUUCGUGAAGUUGGGAUUUCUAAUAUCAGUUCUGAUGCUGCCAGUUGAGACCACAUACAACAUCAGAGUGACACCAAGCCUAUCUAGCUGGGCUUGUAGGCACGCUUCUGUUCCUUGCUGGAUCAGAAAUAACUAAAGGAGUGGGACAGAGAGAAAGGUUAGCGUAGCAGCAACCUGCUUCUUAUUUCCUAAUUGUGGAUUUUAUCCUACAAACCAUUAAAAAGGAUGGCCCGGUGCCACUUCAUUAUUCACCUAGUGGAGGUUGUGUGAUUUACUGGCUAUUUUGGAAUUCCAAAUUGCACACAAUAGCAUUGGUGUGCCUCCAUUCCUGCUUUGAAGAGCAGUCACUAGAAAACACUUUGGCACAGAUUUCUGUGCAAAUCAGCUGGAAUUUCACUCUGGUGUACCUUAUUUUACUGUAAUAACAACAAAAGAUGCGCCAGAAACUUAUAUUUAGAAGUUUUAUGUUUCCGCUUUUAUGUAUAAGGACCAAUUAAGCCUUGUCUUUUUGCUGCAAACUCUAAUACUUCUGUGCUGUUUGGAGGGGCCAGUGUUUUCAAUCAUAAUUAGUGAGCCGGUCAAAAAAUAAAGUUCAUUUGAGGAUAAGAACUCAAUCUAGAGGGUGGGGUAAAUAAUAGCUUUCAACUUCUUGCCUUUUUUUUUUAUACUAAUGGAUGACACUUUUCUCAGGGGGGCAGAAUAAGUAAAAAUGUUCUGAUUGAAGUGAUUCUUGUAUAAAGUCAGUCUGGCUGACAAAAGCAAGUAUGUUUUCUUUCUGUCUGAACUAUACCUACAUCUUCUGCUAUGCAAUUCACUCAUCUUCCUUUCCAAUCCCUGAACAGUGAGUUAUUUCUUUAAAAGGGAUAUUUUAUGUCUGUCUUAUUUUAGCAUAUGUGUGGCCAUUUCACACUUAAAAAGCAGGAGACACGAAUACACAAGCCAGAUGAUGGUACUGGUAUGAGAUGAUAUGACACAAAUUGUGUGUUCUGUGACCAGUGCUUGUUUAAAGCAUUUCCCGUGGGGUAAAAUCUAUGUACAACGAGAAUUUUCUCCAAUCUGCAGAGAGAAUGGAGUUAAACCACAACUACAUGAAAUGAAGUGGUUCAUAAAACCUAGUGUCCUGCCUUGGUGGCUUGAUAGGCAGAUUUUUGUCACAUUACUGGGGUAGUCUUUUUUUCCUUGAGAAGCAGCUCUGUGUCUUGAGUGAUACUGUCUUCAAAGACAUUUCCAGAAGAUGUGGUUGGAGUCACGUCAGUGAUUUAAAUCACACAGGGAGGAAGCCCCAGAUGACCAAUCCUGUUUGGUAUCAAGGUGGGUGAAAAAUCUAUGGCUAAAGUUGAAGCAGCAUUUAACAUUUAUAGGUAAGUUAAAGCUAAUAAUGAAAAUUAGAUUGCACUAAAUUAAGUUGCACAAUGAAUCAUCGCAGCCAUUCCUAAUAACAAUUGUUCUUAGACCAGUGGAGUUUUGUCAAGAAUAAUGGAUGUCUGUUUCUCUUACAAGUUCUGAGUUCUCCGUUCUGUAUUCUUUUUACUGCAGCUAAUCACAGUGUAUUGAAUGCAAACUCUUAUCUUUCAGCUUUUAGAGCCAAUUCUCAAUGCCACUGAAGUUAACACUGUCUGUGGGACCAGAAGUCAGCUGAAUUGAACUUUGACUUUGAAGAUUAAUAUUAACCAUUGAGAGAUGGAAAGAGAGACUAGAAACCAAGGCUUAGGCAAAAGCUGUUCAGCUGAUGUGCUUCUUAAAGUAAUAUUGCCUGUGGGUUUCAGAAAAACCUGCAACUCUUUCUGUAAAAGCAGGGCUGAACGUUUAGUUAAUGUAAAUUGAAGUAGCCCUCCUCAGAGGGCUUUGUCUCUUCAGAGACAGAAAAUCUGAAGUCUUUUUUUUCUAUUUAUCUUCCACGUAUCAACGUGUAUUUUUUGGCUUGUUCUUUAAAACAUAGAUACCAAUGGUUGUAUUGUAAGAAAGGCACGAUUUCAUCUUGCUUUAGCUCCCUAUACGACAGGUAUGCAUUUUUUACUGUUUUGUGUGCUUUUAAAUCUGCAGAUGAGUGGGAGAGAACUGAAUGAAGCUCAUGAGCUGGCCAUUUGCUUUGAGUUGAACUCAACAAGAGAUUACUCUGGCAAAUCUUCCGAAGUAGUCAUCGUGCACAGGCCAUUGGGAAAAGUCGUAGCAACCCACACUGAUGGAUAUUCCCUCUUUGUGAGAGUGACAGGUAGAGAACUGGCAUAAGUGAAACACUGAGGACACCGACAUGUGCCUUGAAGAGGACGUGCUGAUCUUGUGCAUCGCUGCAGCUUUUCCCACUGUGAAUCCCCAGUAGAACAAAUCACCACGGAAAAGUCAACAUAUCCAGAAGUGAAGAUGUUGAAGCACCACGCUUGUAUCUGAGUGCAUGUGGGAGGGACAGCAUCUAAUUCAGUACCUGCUUGCUCAGCGUCCUUAUCUACAGACUUCAGUGUGCACACAAAACAUGGGGCAAGCAUGUUUAUCAGAGCGCACAGAAUUGUACCUGCCAAGCUCAGAGAUCUCUUACAGGUGCUUUUAAAAUGGGCUUUAAAAUCAUCCUGUAAUCACUGGGAGAACAGCGGGCUGAUAUGCAGCAGUGAUGGCCAGUUGCCUAGAAUAUCAGUUCUUCUUCAAUAACUUUCGUAUGCCAACGAUGAACUUAUAAACAGUUAUUUUCUUUAUUCAUUGUCUGCUUAUUGGUGUCAUGCCCUCGUGAUGACUCCUGCUAAAAGGGGUGACAUAAGGUAGCUCAGAAUAAAGUUUUUGUGUGCAAACAGGGCUCAUCUGUGUAUCCAUGCACACAUUUUUUAAUUGCUCCUUUGAAGCUGUCCAUUCAGAGGCAGUAACCAAGCAUCUAGGAAGUAUAAAAACAACAAAGAAGUGUUCAGAUAUUUCUCAUGAAGCAGAUUUUUUAGUUAGUUCUCAUUCUUUUUUCUUCCCGCUUAAACUGAAUUUAGCUCCUCUGAUCAGAGCCAAAUUGACAGCUUUGAAUACUAAAGUAAUCUGCUUGCUCACGGGAGAAUUACAGCAGGGAGAGCCACAGGACAGCUUUCCUCACCCACUCGCAGAGGCUGGUUCAUCCCCACGGUCCAGCAAGCUAACGCGACACUCAGCAGAGCUGCCUGAUGCUGUGACUUGUUCUGAGUGGGGACUGAUCUGAGAAAAAGGAAUCCUUUCAUACCAGUCAGCACACAGGCUGGAAGUGACGCUCAGGGCAGUAUUGCUGAGAGGUGUCUGCACCUUAGUUCUCUACAAUUAUCGAUGCAAUGACCAGUGGAAGUCCGAAAAGCCAACAGAAUGUGUGCUUUUGUCAGGAGGGGUGUGGAGAGUAAGACAGAAGGCACUAUUUUGCAUUGGUACAUACAGCCUGGGUGCACCUCUGACAUGGAUGUUGUGUGCAGUUCUGCUUUCCCCAUCUCAAGAAGAACAUAGUGGAGUCAGAGAAGAGGCAUUAAAAUGGUAAUGGUAGUGGAGCAGCUGCCUAAUGAAAAAGAGUAAAAGGCAGAAACUCUUCAAUUUGGAGAGAAGGCUGAGGAAGGCACGCUUGGGAUUUAGAAAGUCAUGAAGAUGGCAGAUAAGGUGAAUGUAGAACUGUUAUCCACCAAACCCUGCAGUGCUAGAACCAGGGGGAACUCGUUGAAACUAGUAGGAAAAGAUUUAAAACAGAUACAGUGCUUACACAAUGGAGACUGAACUUCUGGGAUUUGUUGCCACAGGAGGCUGUGGGGCAGACAGUAUCAGCAGACUCAAAAAGGUCCAUAAAUAACUACCAGAGGGAAUAGGCAGGGACAUAUCCUUUAACAUCCUUAAUACAACAAUUGCAGAUGCUGGGGAGUUUGAAGAGAAAGACCCACAGAAAGUGGCCAGGCUCACAUUCUCUCUGCACAGAGCAUUUGUUGUUGGCUUGAGAAAAAGAGGGUUAGAUGGACUACUGGCAGGACCAUGCAAGAAGCUUCCUCAUGUGGGACUGAGGCUCCUGUCUCCAUGCCACGGAGAAGAGAAGAAUGCUCCUGAAGGUGAUUCAGAGCAGAACCUACCUUUUCCUGCCCUGAAUCAUCUGUUAGAAAACCCUAUCUCUCACCAUCAAUUUCACAGGAAAUCUACCCUAGACAAAAGUUAGUCCUGUGAAUAACCAUCUUAGUCACAACUGACACAGGUUGGAUUUGAACUGCUAAUCUGGAACUGAAAAAAGUGUCAUAUACCAAACACCAGUUGUUCCACACACCCCCACCUCUGGUCAGUUCGUUGAGGGUUUUUAAGAGGAAAAAAAAGUAUUAGAGUUCAGUACUAUUAGAAAGAUUAUAGGCUGACUAUGAUCACAUCCAAUUGGAAGCAUUUCCUCAGCCAGUGAUGCUGAAACAGUACGUCAAACUCUGGUUAAGAUGAAAAGUUAAAAAAACAUCUUUUGUAUAUGUUAGACUGCUUUCUCAUAGUCUCAAAGCUGAAUCACUGGGAAAGACUGCUUCUGCUGUCUAGCUGUGAAGCUGUUCUGAAUUGCCCAGGUAUGGCUGGAUGUCUCAAUGUUUGUGGGAAGCCUGCUGCAUGUCACCAUCUGGAAACAGAAACAGCAGGAGAGGCUGGAAUUGCAGUAGGACAUCUGAAUCAGAAAAGGGAGGUGAAAGUCAGGAGGUGAGCGUUCCACACAAAGCUACCUCAGUAGCUUCCUUUGACCACUCCAUCUCAUAGAAAUGAAAUACCUGCUUGUACGACACAGAAUAAGCUGUAUUUCAUUACAAAAUAUCCACAUAGAAUAAGCUGCUUCAACAAGCAAAUACAGACAUUUUUAUAUUACUUGGAGUUGGAGAUGCUGGGAGACAUUUUCAGUCAUCAGCUGAAAAUCUGAUAUCUCCAGGAAAAGGAAAGUUCCAAAGCAUAUUCUGGGAUUCAAAAAUGGACUGAAAUACAGUAAUAACUGCACAAAAUUUAAACCUGUCUUUUAAAAUGUGUUUGAAAUUCAAAGCAUCAGGCUCUCUGGUAGCAUGAAUUCCUGGUACUCAGACAGUACGUGACAGGCAAAAAUCUUCGCAGAAAUCUACUGAUUAAUCUCUGGUAUAGGUAAGUGUUCAAACUGUAUUUGUUGUCUUUCUUUUUUAACUUGGAAGAUACAAAGUGGAAGUUUGCACAUAGCACUUGGUUGGCUGCCCAGGACUUCCAAAGAAAUCCAUAGUUGGAAGGAUGGAAAAGGGAACCUGCCAUGGUUUCCAAGCUUUUCUUCCCGCUGGCUAAAAUAUGUUGCUACCUGCUUUGGAACUGAAAAACCACUCCACGCUGUGCAAAACCUCCAACAGAAAAUGUUUAGAAUAUGGUUAACUGUUUUAUGAUAGAACAUUUCUGGAGCCUGGAGAAGCCUCCAUGGUAACCUGACAGCAGCUUUCAGUAUCUAAAGAGGGGCUACAAGAAAGAAGGGGACAGACUAUACAGCAGGGUCUGUGGUGACAGGACAAGGGGAAACAGUUUCAAACUAAAAGAGAGGAGAUUCAGGUUGUAUGUAAGGAAGAAGUUUUUAUAAUGAAGGUGGUGAGGCGUUGGCACGGGUUGCCCAGAGAGGUGGUGCUCCAUGCUCCAUCUCUGGAGAUGCUCAAGGUCAGGAUGGAGGUGGCUCAGAGCACCUGUCUCAGCUAUAAGUGUCCCCAUCCAUUGCAGGGGAGUUGGACUAGAUGAUCUUUAAGGGUCCCUUCCAACUCAAUGACUCUAUGACUCUAUGAUUUCAAUAUCUGUAUACUUUGCAUCUCAGUUUCUGGCUGAGCCUGCACGUAUUACUAUUGGGACCAUUAUUCACUGUUUAGUUCAGAAAAUCCCUUUUGUUUCUCUCACAAGAUGUCUAUGAGAAAAUGAGAAGCACGGUGUUAUUAGUGUUUGGACAAAUAAAUUGUUGGCUUGCACACUC